rnacentral:rRNA from 1 species
CCUACGGGAGACAGCAGUGAGGAAUAUUGGUCAAUGGACGCAAGGCUGAACCAGCCAUGCCGCGUGCAGGAAGACGGCUCUAUGAGUUGUAAACCGCUUUUGUACGAGGGUAAACGCAGAUACGCGUAUCUGUCGGAAAGUAUCUGACGAAUAAGCAUCGGCUAACUCCGUGCCAGCAGCCGCGGUAAUACGGAGGAGUCGAGCGUUAUCCGGAUUUAUUGGGUUUAAAGGGUGCGUAGGCGGUCGGAUAAGUUAGAGGUGAAAUCCCGAGGCUCAACUUCGGAACUGCCUGUGAUACUGUUCGGCUAGAGAGUAGGUGCGGUAGGCGGAAUGUAUGGUGUAGCGGUGAAAUGCUUAGAGAUCAUACAGAACACCGGUUGCGAAGGCAGCUUACCAAGCUACUUCUGACGUUGAGGCACGAAAGCGUGGGGAGCAAACAGGAUUAGAUACCCCUGUAGUC